rnacentral:lncRNA from 10 species
GGCGGAGGCAGGCGGAUCACCUGAGGUCAGGAGUUGGAGACCAGCCUGACCAACAUGGAGAAACCCCGUCUGUACUAAAAAUACAAAAUUAGCCGGGCAUGGUGGCACACACCUGUAGUCCCAGCUACUCGGGAGGCUGAGGCAGGAGAAUCGCUUGAACCUUGAGAGGCGGAGGUUGCAGUGAGCCGAGAUCGCGCCAUUGCACUCUAGCCUGAGCAACAAGAGCAAAACUCCAUGUCAAAAAGAAAAAAAAAAAGCAAAAUAGAAAUUUCGUACACAGUUUAGCAAUCUGCUCCUAGGUGUUGACCCAAGAGAAAUGAAAGAGCAAGGCCACACAGACGUGUUCAGGAACAACCCAUGAUCCACGCACAGCUGGACAUACGAAGGAGCUGUGUGCGUCCACGCCACGGGGUCCUGCUCAGCAUGGAGAGGGGUGAGCUGCUGGUGUGACGGCGCCACGGGGUCCUGCUCAGCAUGGAGAGGGGAGCUCAUCCCCGCUCCUGCACUGUGGCCAUAGCUCCAGGCAGCCGCGCGCCGACCCCACCCACAGGCCUGGGUGGAGCUGAAGGUCUAAGCCCCAUGCCAGACCCUCAUCCAGGCAGCGACCCCUGGGCACAGGGGGCAUGGCAGGGACACCGAUUUCCUCCUCCUUCUGUCAGUUUGGACAAAGAUUCCAGGGCCACAGACCACCGUCUGGCCGCCCCAAACUGCUUUCUCCAAAAGGGCUUGCCCCAAAGCUUUGCCCACCGAGUCCUGGAGCUGCUGAGCGUCCUGCCGGGCCUCACCUUAGUCUCUCCUGUCGCCUUGUGAGGAAGUGCCUGCUUCCCCUUCCACCAUGAUUAGGUGUGUGUUACUCAGAGGCUGGUGGAGAUGAGAUACACUGCACGUCACAAACCCUGGAGGGACCUGUGAAACUGAAACAGAUGUUGCUGGUAACACAACAGAGGACAAAAACAUGGACUCCUUAAAGAUAGUCAACCAAUCCAAAAGAAAUCAGGAAAAGAAAAAAACAAGGAACAAAGAAUAAAUGAAAAAAAUACAAAACAAAUAGCAAGGUAGUAUACAUAAAUUAAAAUGUAAAAAUUCCAAAUUAAAGGCAGAUAUUUUCAGACUGAAUAAAGGGCAAUAUUCAGCUAUAUACUGUGUAUAUAAAUCCACUUUACAUAUAAAGACACGUAUAGAUUAAAUGUGACAAGAUGGAAAUAAUACAACAUACAAACAUUGAUUAUAAUUAAGCUGAUGUGGCCAUACUAACAUUAGACAAAGCAGACUUCAGAACAAGGAAUAUUAACAGAGAAAAAGAAAAGCAGCCCAUAAUGGAUACAGGGUUCUAUGUAUUAAGAAAAUAUAGGCCGGGUGCGGUGGCUCACGCCUGUAAUCCCAGCACUUUGGGAGGCCGAGGUGGGCGGAUCACGAGG